rnacentral:rRNA from 1 species
GACGAGCCUCACAAACGUUAUUCGGAAUUACUGGGCCUAAAGGGUGCGUAGGCGGCGCGGAAAGUUGGGUGUGAAAUCCCUCGGCUCAACCGAGGAAUUGCGCUCAAAACUACCGUGCUCGAGGGAGAUAGAGGAAUGCGGAACUUAGGGUGGAGCGGUGAAAUGCGUUGAUAUCCUAGGGAACACCGGUGGCGAAAGCGGCAUUCUGGAUCUCAUCUGACGCUGAUGCACGAAAGCUAGGGUAGCAAACGGG